rfam:Schistosoma mansoni, Puerto Rico, WGS project CABG01000000 data, contig: 0176
AUCCAGCUGACGAGUCCCAAAUAGGACAAACGCGCAUCCUGGAU